rnacentral:tRNA from 1 species
UAUGGCAGAAAAUAAUGCAAUGAACUUAAGAUUCAUUUAUAAAGAACUAUCUUUUAUUAGAA